UCGAACGCGAAAGUGGAGCAUCCAUGAGUAGAGUGGCAAGCGGGUGAGUAACACGUGGGUGACCUGCCUCAGAGUGGGGGAUAACGUUCCGAAAGGAGCGCUAAUACCGCAUAACAUCCUGCGUUUGGAGACGCAGACAUCAAAGCCGGGGAUCGCAAGACCUGGCGCUCAGAGAGGGGCCCGCGGCCGAUUAGCUAGUUGGUGAGGUAACGGCUCACCAAGGCAACGAUCGGUAUCCGGCCUGAGAGGGCGGACGGACACACUGGGACUGAGACACGGCCCAGACUCCUACGGGAGGCAGCAGUGGGGAAUUGUUCGCAAUGGGCGCAAGCCUGACGACGCAACGCCGCGUGGAGGACGAAGAUCUUCGGGUCGUAAACUCCUUUCGAUCGGGAAGAACGUUUUCCGGGUGAACAAUCCGGAGAAGUGACGGUACCGAGAGAAGAAGCCCCGGCUAACUCCGUGCCAGCAGCCGCGGUAAUACGGGGGGGGCAAGCGUUGUUCGGAAUUACUGGGCGUAAAGGGCCAGUAGGCGGCCAACUAAGUCCGACGUGAAAUCCCCAGGCUUAACCUGGGAACUGCGUCGGAUACUGGAUGGCUUGAAUUCGGGAGAGGGAUGCAGAAUUCCAGGUGUAGCGGUGAAAUGCGUAGAUAUCUGGAGGAAUACCGGUGGCGAAGGCGGCAUCCUGGACCGACAUUGACGCUGAACGGCGAAAGCUAGGGGAGCAAACGGGAUUAGAUACCCCGGUAGUCCUAGCCCUAAACGAUGAAUGCUUGGGUGUGGCGGGUAUCGAUCCCUGCCGUGC
rnacentral:rRNA from 1 species